GACGAACGCUGGCGGCGUGCCUAAUACAUGCAAGUAGAACGCAGUUGCGAACGGGUGAGUAACGCGUAGGUAACUGCCUCAUAGCGGGGGAUAACUAUUGGAAACGAUAGCUAAUACCGCAUACUGUGAGAUGGACCUGCGUUGUAUUAGCUAGUUGGUGAGGUAAAGGCUCACCAAGGCGACAAUACAUAGCCGACCUGAGAGGGGGAUCGCACACACGGGGACUGAGACACGGCCCUGACUCAGACGGGAGGCAGCAGUGGGGAAUAUUGCACAAUGGGCGCAAGCCUGAGGCAGCCAUGCCGCGUGUUUGAAGAUGGCCUUCGGGUGGUAAAGUACUUUCAGCGAGUAGCGUUACUUGCAGAAGAAGCACCGGCUAACUACGUGCCAGCAGCCGCGGUAAUUC
rnacentral:rRNA from 1 species